rnacentral:lncRNA from 1 species
AGCUCCUGUCCCUGAAUUUCACAAAGGCAAAGGCACAGUUCAGCCACUGAGAAUCCACGAAGUAAAAUCUAAUGCAGCUGAUUAUGCAACAUUCCACAGGUGACACUGAUAGAACAUCAUCAGGCAAAAGAAGUUUGGCAUCCUCAUACACUAUCAGAUACCAAUGAAAUGAGGAACAAUCAAUUAGUAAACGAAGAGACACGAAACAUGUAGGAAUCAGAACUGCAGUUUCCAGUUUGUACGCCGUUGAUUGUCUUCUAAUGUGGAUUCACCCGGCCUAUUCUAACUAGCAUAACCAAUCCAGAGAUUGAACAUGAUAACGAACCCUCCGAUUAUAAUCCAGUAAAUCAGGGUGUGCAUCUCGUAGAAUUAAUGAAUCACUAUGAUUUAGAGGAUAAGAUAAUGACAACACAGAACCAAAGGAGCAAUUGCUGGUUAAACCCAGAAGGGAAGACCAGCAUGUCAAGCUGUACCUUGCACCGAAUUAUCCCAACCUCAGCAAUUCCCAGCCAAUUUAAACCACCCAACAGAGCAUUUGCACGGAGCUAACCCAAAAAACGUAACUUCGAUUGAAGCAAAGACUGACGUCAACUAAGCUCGUAAUUAAGCUCGUAAUCAAAGUUCAAUGUCCG